GAGAAGGAAGGAGAGGGGAGGAGGGAGAAAGAGAGAGGAAAGAGGGGAGGGAGGUGUGGCGGCCGGCGUCAGCCUGCGCCGGCGAGGUCAGGCGCGACCUGGCGGUUGGCGGCGGCUCGAUCCGUUCCUGGAUCGGGAGCUGCGAGGAGGCUGGGGCUCGGGCGCGGUGCACGGGAGGCUGCACCCCGCCUCCAUCUCCACGCGUGCAGCGGCGACCCCGGGAGGAGCUCGAGCCACAGCGGUGGUCCACGGCGCCGGCGUCAGUAGGAGGAGCGUGGGCCGCAGAGACGGCCGGCUCCGUCCGGCUUUUGCGCUGCCGUCCAUCCACCCGAGCGAUCAGUCCGCGCGUCCUCGCCUCCGUCCUCUCACGCACGCCCUCGUGUCUGGAUAUUUGGUAAUUUCUUUUCUGAGCAUAAAUAGAUAUUGUGCCCCCACCUGUUUGUUGUUUUGCCCAGCUGAAAGGUGGAUCAAAUAUGAAAGACGUGAGCGUUCAAUAGUGUGAAAAACAAGCCCUGGUCUUGUUGAAGUUCCAUUGAAUUUCUGUGAUACUAAUGCUCAUAUUUUGCAAUUUGCUCUCCACAGCUUUCAGUCACGGAUUCUUGAGGAAAACAAGAAAACAGGUAAUAUAUAUAUGAUUAGUGUUUGGGUGACCGUUGAUUCCUACACCGAGUUGUGUUGCUGUACAAAUAGCCUCUCUUUUUGAUGGUGACAGGGUGUCCCUUCCAGGUUCAGCAGCAGGCAAUGCUCAGGACAGAGUUGGGUGCACAUCAUAUAUAUACAUAUGUUGUCGCAUCUUAAUAAACGGAGAUGAGCAGAAGCAGAGAUGAGAUAUCUAUCCGACUGUCAUCCUUCCCAGACUUGGGUCUGUCAUCUCUGGCACCAUAACUCUAAUCCGACAUGAGCAGUGCAACCACGACAGUGGGCAGUGGAAUCACAAGAUAG